rnacentral:snRNA from 1 species
GUCAGCUCAGAACUGGUACG